AAAUAUGAUCUGUCUGUAAAAUCUGUCAUCCCAUUGGUCCCCAGUGUUGACUAGACUUGCCUGCAUGGCUAGGCAGAUGCUCAUUUCCUCCCCAGCUCUCCAUGUUUUAUCUUCUUGAAGCAGUGUGUUUAGCUGAAGAGAGAAAAGGUGUCUUCAAUAAGGAGAAGCAUUUUUUGGUCAAGUAGUUGUGCUUCUCUGUUAGAACCAUCAAGCAGGAUAUAAGGGUCUAUCUAAAGACGAUUUAGUCUAGUAAUAUCAUAUCAUCCUUGGGGGGGUUUUUGUUUGAAAUGCACCCAA
ensembl:misc_RNA Gm22037 predicted gene, 22037